AGAAUCAACGCUGGCGGCGCGCUUAACACAUGCAAGUCGAGCGAGAAAGGGAGCAAUCCUGAGUAAAGCGGCGCACGGGUGAGUAACACGUGGAUCAUCUACCCUAUGGUGGGGAAUAACCUUGGGAAACUGAGGCUAAUACCGCAUAAGUUCGAGAGAAGAAAGCCGAAAGGCGCCAUUGGAGGAGUCCGCGGCCGAUUAGCUAGUUGGUGGGGUAAGAGCUCACCAGGGCGAUGAUCGGUAGCCGGCCUGAGAGGGCACACGGCCACACUGGCACUGAAACACAGGCCAGACUCCUACGGGAGGCAGCAGUGGGGAAUCUUGCACAAUGGGGGAAACCCUGAUGCAGCGACGCCGCGCGAGUGAUGAAGCCCUUCGGGGUGUAAAGCUCUUUCGGCAGGGACGAUAAUGACGGUACCUGCAGAAGAAGCUGCGGCUAACUACGUGCCAGCAGCCGCGGUAAUACGUAGGCAGCAAGCGUUGUUCGGAAUUACUGGGCGUAAAGAGUGCGUAGGCGGUUUGGCAAGUUUGGUGUGAAAUCUCCCGGCUUAACUGGGAGGGUGCGCCGAAAACUGCCAGGCUAGAGUGUGGGAGAGGAAAGUGGAAUUCCUGGUGUAGCGGUGAAAUGCGUAGAUAUUGGGAGGAACACCAGUGGCGAAGGCGACUUUCUGGACUGUGUCUGACGCUGAGGCGCGAAAGCUAGGGAAGUGAACGGGAUUAGAUACCCCGGUAAUCCUAGCCGUAAACGA
rnacentral:rRNA from 1 species